CCCUUAGAUGUUCUGGGCCACACGCGUGCUACACUGAGUGGAUCAGCGGGUCAGGUUGCGCGAAAGCGUUUCCUAAUCUUUAAAUCCGCUCGUGAUGGGGAUUGACGGUUGCAAUUUUCUGUCAUGAACGAGGAAUACCUUGUAAGCGCGGGUCAUCAUCCCGCGCUGAAUACGUCCCUGCCCUUUGUACACACCGCCCGUCGCUCCUACCGAUUGAGUGGUCCGGUGAGGCUUUGGGAUCUGAGCGGAAAGAGCGUUUCGCUGUUUCUGCUCGGAAAACUCAGUCGAACCUUAUCAUUUAGAGGAAGGAGAAGUCGUAACA
rnacentral:rRNA from 1 species